rnacentral:tRNA from 1 species
GGUGUAGCUCAGUGGUAGAGUGCUUGCCUAGCACAUGUGUGGCACUGGGUUCAAUCCUCAGCACAACA